AUUGAACGCUGGCGGCGGGCCUAACACAUGCAAGUCGAGCGGAGCGGCGGACGGGUGAGUAAUGCAUAGGAAUCUGCCUGGUAGUUGGGGAUAACGUCCGGAAACGGGCGCUAUUACAGCAUACUCUCAGAUGAGCCUAGGUUUGAUGAGCUAGUUGGUGGGGUAAAGGCCUACCAAGGCGACGAUCCGUCACUGGUCUGAGAGGAUGAUCAGUCACACUGGAACUGAGACACGGUCCAGAAUCGUACGGGAGGCAGCAGUGGGGAAUAUUGGACAAGGGGCGAAAGCGUGAAGCAGCCAAGCGGGGUGAGUGAAGAAGGGCAUCGGAUUGUAAAGCACUAUAAGUUGGGAGGCGGUACCAAAAGAAUAAGCACCGGCUAACUUCGUGCCAGCAGCCGCGGUAAUAC
rnacentral:rRNA from 1 species